rnacentral:rRNA from 1 species
CCGCAAGGGGGCAGCGCGCAGUACGAGGUGGAGUAACGCGUGGGGAAUCUACUCCUUAGACUACGGAAUAACGCAGGGAAACUUGUGCUAAUACCGUAUGUGUCCUUCGGGAGAAAGAUUUAUCGGUCAAGGAUGAGCCCGCGUUGGAUUAGCUAGUUGGUGGGGUAAAGGCCUACCAAGGCGACGAUCCAUAGCUGGUCUGAGAGGAUGAUCAGCCACAUUGGGACUGAGACACGGCCCAAACUCCUACGGGAGGCAGCAGUGGGGAAUAUUGGACAAUGGGCGCAAGCCUGAUCCAGCCAUGCCGCGUGAGUGAUGAAGGCCCUAGGGUUGUAAAGCUCUUUCACCGGAGAAGAUAAUGACGGUAUCCGGAGAAGAAGCCCCGGCUAACUUCGUGCCAGCAGCCGCGGUAAUACGAAGGGGGCUAGCGUUGUUCGGAAUUACUGGGCGUAAAGCGCACGUAGGCGGAUCGAUCAGUCAGGGGUGAAAUCCCAGGGCUCAACCCUGGAACUGCCUUUGAUACUGUCGAUCUGGAGUAUGGAAGAGGUGAGUGGAAUUCCGAGUGUAGAGGUGAAAUUCGUAGAUAUUCGGAGGAACACCAGUGGCGAAGGCGGCUCACUGGUCCAUUACUGACGCUGAGGUGCGAAAGCGUGGGGAGCAAACAGGAUUAGAUCCCUGGUAGUCCACGCCGUAAACGAUGAAUGUUAACCCGUCGGGCAGUAUACUGGUUCGGUGGCUCAGCUAA